GUAGGGAAUAUUGGACAAUGGGGGGAACCCUGAUCCAGCCAUGCCGCGUGGAGGAAGACUGCCCUCUGGGUUGUAAACUCCUUUUAUAUGGGAAGAACCGUCCUCAUUAAUGAGUGACCUGACGGUACCAUAGGAAUAAGCACCGACUAACUCCGUGCCAGCAGCCGCGGUAAUACGGAGGGUGCAAGCGUUAUCCGGAUCCACUGGGUUUAAAGGGUGCGUAGGCGGAUAAAUAAGUCAGUGGUGAAAUCAACGGGCUCAACCUGUUAACUGCCAUUGAUACUGUGUAUCUUGAAUAUGGGAGAGGUAGGCGGAAUGUUGCAUGUAGCGGUGAAAUGCUUAGAUAUGCUACGGAACACCGAUUGCGAAGGCAGCUUACUAUUUCGUAAUUGACGCUGAGGCACGAAAGCGUGGGUAGCGAACAGGAUUAGAAACCCUGGUAGUCC
rnacentral:rRNA from 1 species